rnacentral:ncRNA from 1 species
UAUAGGGCAAAACCGGAGAAAUCCGGCGACGCAAAACUAUAGGGACUAACUCCGUUUGGAAAUGUCAGCCAGUUACCGC